GAAGAUUGGUGCGGUAGUUAGUCGUUCCAUAAGUUCUAUUGUAACGACUCCGCAAAUUCCAAAAAAAAUAAAUUAUAAAUUAAGCGCGGAAGCGAAAUAAAUAAUUAGGGUUUACAUUCCUUACACAAUGAUUUAAAGUAUCAAGUAUGGUCACGAAAAUGACCAUUUUGAGAGAAAUACAAGAAAUUAAAGAAAUAACC
rnacentral:lncRNA from 1 species